rnacentral:rRNA from 1 species
AUUGAACGCUGGCGGCAGGCCUAACACAUGCAAGUCGAACGAGUGGCGGACGGGUGAGUAAUGUUUGGGAAUAUGUCUGCUGGCGGGGGAUAACUACUGGAAACGGUAGCUAAUACCGCAUACUAUCGGAUGAGCCCAGAUGGGAUUAGCUAGUAGGUGGGGUAACGGAUCACCAAGGCGACGAUCCCUAGCUGGUCUGAGAGGAUGACCAGCCAAACUGGAACUGAGACACGGCCCAGACUCCUACGGGAGCCAGAAGUGGGGAAUUUUGGACAAUGGGGGCAAGCCGGAUGCAGCCAUGCGGCGUGUAUGAAGAAGGUCUUCGGGUUGUAAAGUACUUUCAGCGGGGAGGCGUUACCCGCAGAAAAAGCAACGGCUAACUCCGUGCCAGCAGCCGCGGUAAUUC